GUUUAGCCCAGAUUGAAGUGACAUCCUUUUGCUUUUUCUGCAAAAGAUAUAACGGAAAGCUGGAAAUAGC
rnacentral:sRNA from 1 species